ACCUAGAGCAGACCUGUAAAAAGUGGGGUUGUCUAUAUCUGCUGAAUUUCAGGCUAGAGGAUUCUCUUCUGGCCUUCAGUACCACUCUGGUACCAUCCAUCAACCCAAGAGACCAUACAAGCAAGGAACCUGGAAAGCAGGUGAACAGGAACACAUGAAAACACAAUCCAGCCCAUGCCUUACUAAUACUCCAUUCCACAAGUGUAUGUGCUUCCAGGAGCUUGGGUAGUUAGUAACACGAGAAGAACUGUUUUACUAGAGGAAUGCCGGGAUCGAGGAAGUAGAAAUCAAUGCACCUGCAUCAAUGUAGAGGGGCUGGUGAAGACUUGCCAAAUCAACUCCAGAUCACUCUCCAGCUGAUCCCAGUACUCUAACCUGGAUGAAAAGAAUAAGGCAUGUGCUCGUCCCCUUUCAAAACUCUGGAAAGUGUCUGACAACUGAAUGAGCCGCACCAUUUGGGGAACAAAGAGCAAAUCGUUGGAGAGCUCCUGUUCUGUCCUGCAGGAGGAAAUGGGACAGACUGUUGUGCUGCUUUGAAAUUCCUCAGCAUGGAGAGCUCACAGAGCUACUCAUGAUGCUGCUCCUGCCAACUGAAGAGGCUCUGGAAUAGCUGAGGGGGAAUCCGAAGAGGCUCAGGGAUCAGCUCUGUCUUCCCACAACAUGGCACUAUGGGAUACAUACCCACAAUGCAUUAAUCAUACGAUUGUGCC